CGACGACCGCCGUACGCGGGAGAUCGGUCGUUUCCCCGCUUGCCGGCGUUACUGCACGGCGCGUACACACGGGUAGUGUGUCCGUUUUCCCCGUUUCCCGCGCCCGGAGAAAAACGAAUUUCGAUCGCGGGCACCGCGCACAACGUCAAUAUGGUUCGGAUAUUCUCGGCCGUGCCGUACGCGCGGCCGGAGACGAAUGAGUGUGUGCGACGCGACGGCGGAAAAAAAAAAAAAUUAUACGCGACAAAGAGCCGUCGACGGCGGCGUCGGCGGCGGAAAGGGGAGGAGGGAGGGGUAGAAAAAAAAUCGUACGCCGAAAUCCGAACGGUUACGGACAGGUAGGUACGCCGCGCGUCACGGAAAACGGCAUUGCCCCCCAC